rnacentral:lncRNA from 1 species
CUUAUUCUAGAAUUUCAGAUACUCUCCCCAUUUUCUUUCAGCUCCAGCAGCGUAUGGGGAAAGUGUAGUUUGUAAGGAAGCAAAAUUGCUUGUUGCAUGUCGCAGAAUCAUAGAAUAGUUUGGAUUAGAAGGGACCUUUGUGAGAUGUUGUAGCUCCAAGUAAUCUUGGAGUAGUAAAUCAGAUCCAGAGUAAAAAGAGAAAUCAGAUUCUUCAUUGUGAGAUGUUGCAGCUCCGAUAUAAAGGGGAAAUUAGAUCCGGAGGAAAAGAGAAAUCAGACUCUUUACCUAGACGUCACUCCUAGGGUAGAAGGGUUUGCUGGGACUAAACGUGCACAUUUUAGUUGUGAAAUGAGUUUGAGCUAAGAAGAGCCUAAGCUAGAAAAGUCCAGCUGUCUUUGCACCCAAGUUAGAGUCAUUCAGACUUCUCUACCUAUGCAAUGUAUCUUUGCCGCAGCAAAAAACAAGGCUGUUUUUUCUAUUUUGCUGAGAAGAGGUUUUAUUUUUUGUGCAGGCGAAGUUUCCCUGGCUCUUCUCCAGCAGCUCGUACUGUUGAUGUGGCAGUAAAGCGUGCGACAGCCCUGCUUGUUGUGCUGCUGGCAGCAGCAUCACGAACUCAGCAUCCUCCUGGGAGCAAGCAGGACAUCAGGCUCUGCAGUGAGGAGAUAAAGCAGGGAAAUGGCUCUGAGGGCCCACUCCAACAGCUGGCUUUCUGUAUCAGGCUACGCUGGGACUGACACCACAGCUCUUUACUGAACAAAAGAACUGAGCUCUGAGCUUACAGGUGCUGCCCACCUCAGCUCCCAUCUCCUCCCCCUGGCAAACAACUGUGGGUGCCCUGGUCUGACUCCACAUGACCCCAGCAGUCAGUGCUCAGCACCACAUGGGACCUCACUGUGCAGCACAGCCCCUAGAUCCCAUUCCUUCCCACCUCUGCUGCUUUAGUCUGAUAUUAUCAAAACAGAUGAUGCUGUAGAGGGCUGCCACAGAUUUUGGCCGUAUUUCCCACCUGCAUCAGCAAAAAGGUGUAAGAAUGGAAUUACUUUAAAUACAAUCUGAAUACAUCUGCUAUCACAGAGCAGGGAUGGCAGGGAAAGGUGAAAGUUCAAAUGUCUGGUGAUACCAUUCUGAAAGUGACAGGUAAAAAGUAAUUUGAUAUUCCUGUUCAAAUGUUAAUAGUCUUUGUUAUGCUUCAGAGUUAACAUCCUAUUAAUGAGGACUGCUCCUGUCUCUUAGAAUUACUGCUAGGAAACUCCAGGCCACCUCUACUUGCAUUUGAAUAUGAUCUCCGUAACAGUAGAGGAAAGGUAUUAAUGAAAGCUAAUUCAUUAACUAAUUCAUGUUAGCUAAUUAUGUGGGAGCUUAAAAGGAGUCAAAGGAGUCAUGGAAAUGCAUAUUGUGGUUGUAUUACUGCACUGAACAUUGAACUCUAACUUGUGCAGAGCUCUAGAUUAUAGACAGCUCUAAAGAAGAGGGAAGGAGAAAUUUAUCCCAUUUCAUAAUGAACUUUUCUUUAAUGAUAAGUUUUAGUUUAUGAAAGAAAAACUUGUAUGAAAAUACAUGUAAAUGAGUAAUAACAGUUUCAUAUGUAUAUAAAUAACAACUCAGCUUUCACAGUUUAAUUGAGUAAGUACUUUAGAAAUGUUACCAGUGAAGAAUGCAA